ACAAAUCAAUUUUCUAAACACCUCAUUCGCAAACAAAAUAAUAAAGCAACCCCGGAUAACAUAACAACCGAACAAAACUUAUAUCCUUACCCAAAUCACAAAUACGCAUAAGAUUGAAACCGCGAGAAAAGAAUCGAUAACAACGGAAGUUUCGAGCAACCCGUUUUAGUGAGUAGAAAAAAAGAACAGAAUUGAAACCAACCAAGC
rnacentral:lncRNA from 1 species